GACGAACGCUGGCGGCGUGCCUAAUACAUGCAAGUCGAACGCUGAAGGAGGAGCUUGCUUCUCUGGAUGAGUUGCGAACGGGUGAGUAACGCGUAGGUAACCUGCCUGGUAGCGGGGGAUAACUAUUGGAAACGAUAGCUAAUGCCGCAUAAGAGUAGAUGUUGCAUGACAUUUGCUUAAAAGGUGCAAUUGCAUCACUACCAGAUGGACCUGCGUUGUAUUAGCUAGUUGGUGGGGUAACGGCUCACCAAGGCGACGAUACAUAGCCGACCUGAGAGGGUGAUCGGCCACACUGGGACUGAGACACGGCCCAGACUCCUACGGGAGGCAGCAGUAGGGAAUCUUCGGCAAUGGACGGAAGUCUGACCGAGCAACGCCGCGGGAGUGAAGAAGGGUUUCGGAUCGUAAAGCUCUGUUGUAAGAGAAGAACGAGUGUGAGAGUGGAAAGUUCACACUGUGACGGUAGCUGAACAGAAAGGGACGGCUAACUACGUG
rnacentral:rRNA from 1 species